rnacentral:rRNA from 1 species
UACGUAGGGUGCGAGCGUUAAUCGGAAUUACUGGGCGUAAAGCGUGCGCAAACAACUUUGCAAGCCAGACGUAAAAGCCCCGGGCUCAACCUGGGAAUGGCGUUUGGGACUACAAAGCUAAAAUACAACAAAAAAAACUGGAAUUCCUAAUGUAACAGUAAAAUGCAUAGAUAUCAGAAGGAACACCGAUGGCGAAGGCAGGUUCCUGGGCCAGCACUGACGCUCAUGCACGAAAGCGUGGGGAGCAAACAGG